CCAAAGUGUGAACGGACCGUAUUUCUGUGGACAGCACCCAGGGACGCUGAUGUUUGUCUCUCCCAGAGCGGGAGAGAGCCUGGGCUAUCCAUUCAGCCUCAGGCCUCGCCUGCUCCAUGCCCUGGCCUCCUCGGGAGCACAAUGCAGCCAGCUGAGGGCUCUGAGAGCCAGCACGCCACCGGAACGACAAAGGGCUUUCAAGGAGCAGGAAGAGGGUCUGAAUGCAGACUACGUGAAGGGCGAGAACCUGGAAGCCGUUGUGUGUGAGGAGCCCCAAGUGAAAUACUUAACGCUACAAACGCAGUCUGCAGAGCCGCCGCCCCCCGAAGCACCGCGGAUCUGAGGGCCACUGCUCGUGACCAGCUCCUUAUUUGGACCCACAGCUGCCCUACUGCUUCUCUGACGUCAUCAGCUUCUCAUUCUAACUUCUCCGGAUGAGCUCGGGGUGUGUGUGAGUUUGGUUUCUGUGCCUGCCCUGCCACAGAGGCUCUGAAGAGACUUGGUGUUGAAUCCGAGACCUACUCUGGCAGAAAGCCAGCACCAGCCUCAGAGCCGUGGGGUCGCUGCUCCCCAAAGCCAGCCUGGCCCAGGCCUUCGUGAGCUGGGGAGUGGGGAGACCGAGAUGAUGGAGGGCACAAGGACUUGGAUGCUCCCGGGCUGAGUUUGAACCCAGGGUAAUGUGAUCCCUUACACCCUGCAGUGACCACUGUGUCCCUGGCAGGGACCUCAGUGUUGUCAGUAGGGACCCAGUUAGCACCUGGUUUGCUUGGAGCCCCUGCAAGGAGCGAACGAGCGAGCAUCAGGUAACCACACGCUCACACACACACUACCCUUCUCAUACACGCACACACUCCACGCAGCUUUUACACUGCUGGGCUUCCAGAGAGCUGGUCCAAGUGGUGGCUUUUUGUUUAUUUAAGUGCAAACCUGCAUGUCUUGAUAGUCCUGCCCUGAGAGUUUAGGAACCUUCUGGACAAGUAGGAAGCUGUCACUCUUGGGCCCGAUUCCCCUCUGAUUCCAUAGGGGACUCCUGGCUGACAUGAUUAGUUUUUAGGCAUCAUUUAUGCAUUGAAAUGAGUGUGCCCCUUCCGCCCUGCAUGUGUUCUUAUUUUGGUAGCCAAAGCUACAGACGUCAAGAACAAGCGGCAAAGCCAGAGGCAGGCAUGUCUUGUGCUUAAAAUUGUGUUCGAGGUGGGAGGGGGAUGGGGAAAGGGACGUUUGCUUGGUUUGGUGAAACAUGCCUGACUCCGUGGGUCUAGGAUGAUUCUGCCCUCCCUGUUCUGAUGAAAAGCCCUGCGGUGCCUGCCCCUCACCUGGCCCGGAGCUGUCUGGUUUGGGCUAGC
rnacentral:lncRNA from 1 species